rnacentral:lncRNA from 1 species
GCCUAAUUUCAACCCUUUUAUUAGAAUAGUCAUUACAGCCCAAAAUAUAUAUACCAAAAUUGUAAGACCUUUUACCACAGCAUCAAAUCAAAUACAAUAUCGUAUGAUUUACAUUGAGAAGCACCUCAAAAUUUACAUGCAAGUUACAUUCAUCUUGCAUCAAAAGCAACACUAGAAACAAAAACAUCAAAUAUUCCAGCAUUUGCCUUCAAAUUUCCAAUCUCUUCUCACUGUUUGCCCCUUGUUCCAUUUCAUCCUAACAUGAAAAGAGCACAUUGUCAAAUAUUAAUCAGAGGACAAUAUUUGUAUUUGUGAUGGAAACUACUGAAACUAGCAGAAAUUCACAUUGACAAAUAUUAAUCAGAGGGAUAUUUGUGAUGGAAAUUACUGAUACUAGCACGAACUGGUUCAAUUAUAACAGUGGAAUUAAUGUUGUAGACUUAAUUAAAAUACUACGCUCGACAAUUGACACUAGUGAUAAAAAGUAAUCAAUUAGGACAUGCAAACCAAAUGUUCUAGCACCAAAUGAGACCAGCUACACAGGGUACUGCUGCAUCUAUAAAUAAUCAGAGCUCUGUUCAAUCAAGCAUGCAUGACAGGAUGAGCAUAGCAAUUAAAUUGACUGCAAACCAGUAGCAGUGUAGUCUUUUCUUUGUGUUAAAAGCUAAGUGUGGCACUAGGAAUUAUGUGGCACUGAAUUGAACAAUGAGCAAUCAGACUACUCAAAUUGAUAGAGGCAUUUCAAAGACAUUGCAAUCAGAUUGUUGAACUACUGCUCACCUAAAAGUAGAGUCUGGGCUGUUUCUUGGGCUUCUGCACCACGCCAAAACAAUUACCUGUAUCCAAGAGAAGAAGAGAAGAAGUUGCAGGCACUGACAGCUAGUUGAAAGCGAACUGAGCUGCUAAAAAAUCAAGCAAAGCAACUUCGAUUAGAGUUAAAGAUUCUAUAUUAACCUGGCCACGGAUCCCAGCAAUAUGGAGCUUUAGCCUAUAUAUCCCUGCUGGUAC